GGCGGAGAGCUGGGAUGGAGCGCGCCUUGGCUCGCUGGCCGUGGCUGCAGCUCCUCGGGAGAACCGGGGCGCCCACGCGAGAAUCUCCCCACCUGGGUCUGUCUUCAGGGAUGACGUCAUCUGUUCACCUCCUUGUCUUCAAGGACCACCUCUCCAAGCCAAGCUGUUGCCAAGGUGCUUGCUGCUCAUCUCCACCUUAUGAGGACACUAGGAGCACCGAUUCGUGGAUCCCACCAGCAUACACAGCAGCCACGGGCAGAGACCCCCAGGACCAGGAUGACAAAGGAUGAAGAGGACCAGAACUGACAAGCCAGCUGUCCCUCUUGGCUAAAGGCUUAAACCGGUGCCCUAGUGAGGGGGCAUUGGCCGCUA